rnacentral:rRNA from 1 species
CACGUAGGGGCCAAGCGUUGUCCGGAUUUAUUGGGCGUAAAGAGCUCGUAGGCGGUUGGGUAAGUCGGGUGUGAAAACUCCAGGCUCAACUUGGAGACGCCACCCGAUACUGCUCUGACUUGAGCUCGGUAGGGGAGUGGGGAAUUCCUGGUGUAGCGGUGAAAUGCGCAGAUAUCAGGAGGAACACCAAUAGCGAAGGCAGCUCGCUGGGACGUUACUGACACUGAGGCGCGAAAGCGUGGGGAGCGAACAGG